rnacentral:rRNA from 1 species
GACGAACGCUCGCGGCGCGCUUAACACAUGCAAGUCGAACGGAAAGGCCUGCUUUCCCUUGUGGAUUGCGGGUACUCGAGUGGCGAACGGGUGAGUAACACGUGAGUGAUCUGCCCCCAACUUGGGUAUAAGCCUGGGAAACUGGGUCUAAUUCCCGAUAGGACUGCAGGGUGGUGCCUGUGGUGGAAAACGAUUUUCUAGUGGUUGGGGAUGAGCUCGCGGCCUAUCAGCUUGUUGGUGGGGUAAUGGCCUACCAAGGCGGCGACGGGUAGCCGGCCUGAGAGGGUGGACGGCCACAUUGGGACUGAGAUACGGCCCAGACUCCUACGGGAGGCAGCAGUGGGGAAUAUUGCACAAUGGGCGGAAGCCUGAUGCAGCGACGCCGCGUGGGGGAUGACGGCCUUCGGGUUGUAAACUCCUUUCGACCGCGAGGAAGCCACCUGGUUGGAAGGGUGGUGACGGUAGUGGUAGAAGAAGCACCGGCUAACUACGUG